rnacentral:rRNA from 1 species
CUCCGGGUGAUCCCGCCGGACCUGACUGCUAUCGGAUUGGUACUAAGCCAUGCGAGUCAUUGUAGCAAUACAAGGCGGACGGCUCAGUAACACGUAGUCAACCUAACUCGUGGACGUGGAUAACCUCGGGAAACUGAGAAUAAACCACGAUAGAUCAUAGUGCCUGGAAUGGCUUAUGGUCCAAACAGUUUACUGCCAUGGGAUGGGACUGCGGCCUAUCAGCUUGUUGGUGAGGUAAUGGCCCACCAAGGCGAUUACAGGUACGGGCUCUGAGAGGAGAAGCCCGGAGAUGGGUACUGAGACACGGACCCAGGCCCUAUGGGGCGCAGCAGGCGAGAAACCUUAGCAAUGUGCGAAAGCACGACUGGGUCAGUCCGAGUGAUUCCUGAUAAAGGAGUCUUUUGCUUGUCCUAAAAGCACAGGUGAAUAAGGGGUGGGCAAGUCUGGUGUCAGCCGCCGCGGUAAUACCAGCACCUCGAGUGGUCAGGACGUUUAUUGGGCCUAAAGCAUCCGUAGCCGGCUCUGCAAGUCUUCGGUUAAAUCCACCUGCUCAACAGAUGGGCUGCUGGAGAUACUACAGAGCUAGGGAGUGGGAGAGGCAGACGGUAUUCAGUGGGUAGGGGUAAAAUCCUCUGAUCCAUUGAGGACCACCAGUGGCGAAGGCGGUCUGCCAGAACACGUUCGACGGUGAGGGAUGAAAGCUGGGGGAGCAAACCGGAUUAGAUACCCGGGUAGUCCCAGCUGUAAACGAUGCAAACUCGGUGAUGCAUUGGCUUAUGGCCAAUGCAGUGCCGCAGGGAAGCCGUUAAGUUUGCCGCCUGGGAAGUACGGACGCAAGUCUGAAACUUAAAGGAAUUGGCGGGGGAGCA